UUAACAUGUGUGCGAGUCAAAGGGUCCUACGAAACCCCUAGGCGCAGUGAAAGUGAAGUUCAUGCUGCACUUCUGCACAUGACGCAGACCUUAUUGGACAUUAAUGGGGCUACGCACGCGCCACCGGCCCGUUCCAUCAUAUAGUCAUAGGUGAGCUUGUGCGUAGAGUGACGACAAAAAGCGUGCAAGGUCGGUGCGUCAUCGGGGCGGGGCAUGAGCACACACGAUGAGAUCCGAAGGAUGUUGAACUAUACAUACUUAGGUCGAAGCCAGAAGAAACUCUGGUGGAGGACCGUAUCGAUUCUGACGUGCAAAUCAAUCGUCAAAAGUGAGUAUAGGGACGAAAAACUAAUCGAGUCAACUAACAGUUGA
rnacentral:ncRNA from 1 species